UAGGGAAUCUUCGGCAAUGGACGAAAGUCUGACCGAGCAACGCCGCGUGAGUGAAGAAGGUUUUCGGAUCGUAAAACUCUGUUGGUAGAGAAGAACGUUGGUGAGAGUGGAAAACUCAUCAAGUGACGGUAACUACCCAGAAAGGGACGGCUAACUACGUGCCA
rnacentral:rRNA from 1 species